CUGAGUCGUAACAAGGUAACCGUAAAGUUUGAUUAUGACUCAUGAAGUCGUAACGGGGUACCCGCAUGUAAGACUGGGAUAACUCCGGGAAACCGGGGCUAAUACCGGAUGGUUGUCUGAACCGCAUGGUUCAGACAUAAAAGGUGGCUUCGGCUACCACUUACAGAUGGACCCGCGGCGCAUUAGCUAGUUGGUGAGGUAACGGCUCACCAAGGCGACGAUGCGUAGCCGACCUGAGAGGGUGAUCGGCCACACUGGGACUGAGACACGGCCCAGACUCCUACGGGAGGCAGCAGUAGGGAAUCUUCCGCAAUGGACGAAAGUCUGACGGAGCAACGCCGCGUGAGUGAUGAAGGUUUUCGCUUCGUAAAGCUCUGUUGUUACGGAAGAACAAGUGCCGUUCAAAUAGGGCGGCACCUUGACGGUACCUAACCAGAAAGCCACGGCUAACUACGUGCCAGCAGCCGCGGUAAUACGUAGGUGGCAAGCGUUGUCCGGAAUUAUUGGGCGUAAAGGGCUCGCAGGCGGUUUCUUAAGUCUGAUGUGAAAGCCCCCGGCUCAACCGGGGAGGGUCAUUGGAAACUGAAA
rnacentral:rRNA from 1 species